rnacentral:lncRNA from 1 species
CUGCCAUGUAGAGAAUAGAAAGGUGCAAGAGUAGAAGUAGCAGACCAGUUCAGAAAACAUAACAAUAAUCCAGACAACAGAUGAUGAUGAGAACCCAAGCUGUGCAAAUGACUUCAAGGUUUCUGGCCUAAACUGCCAAAUUGCCAUUUAAUGACUGAGGAAAGGAGCAGCUGUUUAUUUGUUGUGAAUAACAGACAUGAGGAGAAUGAUUUCGGAUAUACUAAGUUUAAAAUGUCUUAAAUAUCCAAGUGGAGAAUGUCUGACUUAACAUCAGACUUUACAUUUGAGAGUCAUUAGUGUACAGAUAGCAUUUAAAGCCAUGAGACUGAAGUAAGAUGGUUUAAAAAUUAGAAGUCCAAGGAGUCUUCCCUAAAGACUGCAACACUUUGUGGUAUAGAAAUGGAGAGGAAUCAGUCAAGGAGGCUGACAAGGCCUAGCAGUAAAGGAGGAUGGUAACUACAAGUCAAGAGUGAGGAAAUGAAAAAUGGUUUCAAAGUUUCUAAUAGGUAAAGUAAAAUGAGAGCCACAAACUGACCUCUGGAUUUAGCAAAGAGGACAUCAAAAACUGAGAAGAGCUGCAGAAAGUGAGCCCACUGUCAACACUGUCAUUCAAUUAAGCUGUUGAAGCAACCCUACCAAACUGCUGAAGAAAAGUCAAGAACAUUACUUCUAUUAGUCAAUUUAGUCAUCAUAAAUAUGAAUCAACAACCAAGGAUCACUGGACAUUUGAGCAAACCCAAUUAUCAUGGAGGGGAAAAAAAGAACCAAUAUGAACACAUAACAACUGACUUUAGGAAAAGGAGAUAAAUUAGGAAGCAGAAGAGAAUUUGGCCAAAUGCUAAUUAAUGGCUUUAGAAAUAUUCAAAAGGAUACCACAUUAAUUAAAAAAUGGGUUGCCAGAAAAAAGAAACAAGAAAGAAUCCUUGGAAGUUAGAAAAUUACUAACGUUGGC